rnacentral:rRNA from 1 species
GAUGAACGCUGGCGGCGUGCCUAAUACAUGCAAGUCGAGCGAACGGACGAGAAGCUUGCUUCUCUGAUGUUAGCGGCGGACGGGUGAGUAACACGUGGAUAACCUACCUAUAAGACUGGGAUAACUUCGGGAAACCGGAGCUAAUACCUGAUAAUAUUUUGAACCGCAUGGUUCAAAAGUGAAAGACGGUCUUGCUGUCACUUAUAGAUGGAUCCGCGCUGCAUUAGCUAGUUGGUAAGGUAACGGCUUACCAAGGCAACGAUGCAUAGCCGACCUGAGAGGGUGAUCGGCCACACUGGAACUGAGACACGGUCCAGACUCCUACGGGAGGCAGCAGUAGGGAAUCUUCCGCAAUGGGCGAAAGCCUGACGGAGCAACGCCGCGUGAGUGAUGAAGGUCUUCGGAUAGUAAAAAUCUGUUAUUAGGGAAGAACAUAUGUGUAAGUAACUGUGCACAUCUUGACGGUACCUAAUCAGAAAGACACGGCUAACUGCGUG